rnacentral:rRNA from 1 species
CCUACGGGAGGCAGCAGUGAGGAAUAUUGGUCAAUGGGCGCGAGCCUGAACCAGCCAAGUAGCGUGAAGGAUGACUGCCCUACGGAUUGUAAACCUCUUUUAUAAAGGAAUAAAGUGAGGCACGUGUGCCGUUUUGUAUGUACUUUAUGAAUAAGGAUCGGCUAACUCCGUGCCAGCAGCCGCGGUAAUACGGAGGAUCCGAGCGUUAUCCGGAUUUAUUGGGUUUAAAGGGUGCGUAGGUGGGGUGUUAAGUCAGUUGUGAAAGUUUGCGGCUCAACCGUAAAAUUGCAAUUGAUACUGGCAGCCUUGAGUACAGUUGAGGUAGGCGGAAUUCGUGGUGUAGCGGUGAAAUGCUUAGAUAUCACGAAGAACUCCGAUUGCGAAGGCAGCUUACUAAACUGCCACUGACGUUGAUGCUCGAAAGUGUGGGUAUCAAACAGGAUUAGAUACCCCUGUAGUC